UUCCCUUUCUUGUUGUUCUUUCUUUUUCCUUCUGUGUGUUUUCUUUGCUACCAUGGCAGGAAUACAAGACCAACAAUCUGUUCAGAGUUUUCUCUACCACCAUCCAAAUGAGAAUCCAGCCAUUGCUCUGGUUUCACCAGUCUUGGAUACUAUUAACUAUCAUUCAUGAGUCGUUCAAUGGUUACAGCCUUAAUCGCUAAGAACAAGAUGCAAUAGUAUGGUUGAUAUAGAACGAGCUUGAUAAUUUUAGGCCUGAACCAGUUUGCACCUGCAAAGUGUUAUACAGGACAUGAGAACCAACGAGAAGAUUGGUUUAGUUAGGAUGCAAGCUGGCUUGUACAUAUUUAAUUACA